rnacentral:misc_RNA from 1 species
ACUGCCACCGACGCCAUGCUAGUUCUUUCUUGACCUCCAUCUCCGAUCGAAUCAGAAUUCAUUGGAUUUAGAUUAAUUUGGUUCUUGGCAGCUGAGAAUUGCCCUCAAUUGAGACAGAGUUAUUUUAAUACAUGUUGGUUUUGGACAGUCUAAGCUCACUUGACAUGUCUGCUUCUCUGCACUUCAAUGCAAAUUAGUGA